rnacentral:rRNA from 1 species
AUUGAACGCUGGCGGCAGGCCUAACACAUGCAAGUCGAACGAGUGGCGGACGGGUGAGGAAGGUCUGGGCAAAUGCCUGAUGGAGGGGGAUAACUACUGGAAACGGUAGCUAAUACAGCAUACCAUCGGAUGUGCCCAGAUGGGCUUAGCUAGUAGGUGGGGUAAAGGCUCACCGAGGCGACGAUCCGUAGCUGGUCUGGGAGGAUGACCAGCCACACUGGAACUGAGACACGGUCCAGACUCCUACGGGAGGCAGCAGUGGGGAAUAUUGCACAAUGGGCGCAAGCCUGAUGCAGCCAUGCCGCGUGUAUGAAGAAGGCCUUCGGGUUGUAAAGUACUUUCAGCGGGGAGGCGUUACCCGCUGAAGAAGCACCGGCUAACUCCGUGCCAGCAGCCGCGGUAAUAC